rnacentral:tRNA from 1 species
UAUAAUAAUAUAGAUAAUAUAGAUAUAAUAUAUAAUAAUAGAUAAAUAUAUAGAUAAAUAUAACAAAUAUAAAAUAAUAAAAGAUAAAUAGGAAAAUAGAGAAUUAUGAAAGUAAUAAAGAGAGAAAAAAGCCUUUAUUUUUUCAAGCCUUACUUGUUGUGUAAUGUAACAUAGUAAUUAAUUAUCCUUUUUCAAUCGGGAGAGAUGGCUGAGUGGACUAAAGCGUCGGAUUGCUAAUCCGUUGUACGAGUUAUUCGUACCGAGGGUUCGAAUCCCUCUCUUUCCGGUUUCGGUGAUGACUUUGGAAUUUUUUUUAUCUUUUCUUUAAAAUUUAGCGAACCUUUUUUGUUUUAUUUAAUAUUUAAAAAUGUAGAAUAGAUAAAAAAAUGCUAAGAACAUUUAAAAAUCAAGAAAAACCUUAUUUUUUUUUAUUCUUCACGUCCAGGAUUACGUCCUGGAUCAUUAGAUAAAAAUCCAAAGAUGAAGAGAGAAACAAAGAAUAUCACUACUGUGUAAACAAAGAGUUUGAGAGUAAGCAUUAUAAAAUCUCCAAGAUCUUUUUUUGGUUUAGAAAAAAAAAA